ACUUUCAACAACGGAUCUCUUGGUUCUCGCAUCGAUGAAGAACGCAGCGAANUGCGAUAAGUAAUGUGAAUUGCAGAAUUCA
rnacentral:rRNA from 1 species